CUGUAUGUGAGCAAUUCCUUGCUUUGUGGAGUUGCCACAUGCAGUGCUCCUCUCACUGACCACCAAUGAAAGAGGUGCCCCUUCUGGAAGUGUGGUGGGGGCCAGAUACAUAGUGUAAGGGAGCUGCAUGUGCCCCAUGGGCCAUAGUUUGGGGACUCCUGCCCCAAGUCCUGUAUUUACCCAUUGUGCAAUCUAGGGGUAUAUUGGUUGAAUGUUCAAGAAGUACUAGUACUUGGUGUGAGAGCUUGCUAAGUCCUUUUCAGAACUGCAGAUCCACUUUGGUGUCUAUCUUUCACCCAGUUCUCACCUGUGGCUCUAAGAUAUACCAUACACAACAACCACACAAAGGGUACUCUUCCCAGAAACGGAAGUAUUUGCCUCCUGAUGCAUGGGGAUGAGAGGAGGUUCCAACUGAAAGAAAAGACCGGCAAAGUACUCUCUGAGCAAAGUCUGACAAUUUGGUGGGCAUGGCAAACAAGUCAGAGUUCUUCAAAUACCCCUGGUAAGGAUGGCUUCACCAAAGCUGGCUACCUCAUGUGAAAAUAUAACAUUAGCCUGGCAAGACAACUUUGGAUGUUAAAGCAAAGGAUCUUACUUCUGAACCUCUGAACUGUAUCCCAGUGAAUUAAUGGAUUGGUCCUUCAUAUAAUACUAGGAGACACUAUACUGGUGUUGUGACAAUGUUCUAAGGAAUCAGAAGACUUGUCUCUGAUCUGGCCUGAGGUCAAAGUCCAACAAUUCAGAAGGGCUCAGAAAAGUGAGCAUAAAGUUGGAAUGAGGAAAUGAAGUAGGAUUUUUUUGCCUGAAAACCACAGAGAGGGGAGAGCACUGGGUUCACCCCUGGUGUGACUGCUGUAAUGGAGAAGCUUCUCCAAACAGAGAGACCAACUGAGAAGCUUCUUCUCAACACUCCAACCUCCUGGGGCCCAUCUCCCAAUGAGAAGAAAGAUUCAGCCUGGCACUCCUCCUUUAGUGCCAUCCUCUGUCACACUGUAAAGCUGGCUUGAGGAGGAGGCAGCAAGGAUGCCUGCUUGUGCUAGCACAUACACUUGGGGAUGCCUAGGAGAGAACCAGCAUGCCUGACAUAUGCCUAUCAAUCUGGUACAGUGGAACUGAAGGAGGAGGCUUGCAAAGGGAAGAGGCAACCACGUGUCCAGGUGCCUUUUGAUUCUCUGGCUUAAUUGUAAUUAUUUAAUGAAUAAUUA
rnacentral:lncRNA from 1 species